rnacentral:rRNA from 1 species
CCUACGGGUGGCAGCAGUGAGGAAUAUUGGUCAAUGGGCGCGAGCCUGAACCAGCCAAGUAGCGUGAAGGAUGACUGCCCUACGGGUUGUAAACCUCUUUUAUAAAGGAACAAAGAGCGGCACGCGUGCCUCUUCGAAUGUACUCGAUGAAUAAGCAUCGGCUAACUCCGUGCCAGCAGCCGCGGUAAUACGGAGGAUCCGAGCGUUAUCCGGAUUUAUUGGGUUUAAAGGGUGCGCAGGCGGAGCGUUAAGUCAGCGGUCAAAUUGAGAGGCUCAACCCCUUCCCGCCAUUGAAACUGCGGCUCUUGAGUGGGAGAGAAGUACGCGGAAUGCGUGGUGUAGCGGUGAAAUGCAUAGAUAUCACGCAGAACCCCGAUUGCGAAGGCAGCGUGCCGGCGUCCGACUGACGCUGAAGCACGAAAGCGUGGGGAUCGAACAGGAUUAGAUACCCGAGUAGUC